rnacentral:rRNA from 1 species
UACGUAGGGGGCUAGCGUUGUCCGGAAUCAUUGGGCGUAAAGCGCGUGUAGGCGGUCCGGUAAGUCCGCUGUGAAAGUCGGGGGCUCAACCCCUCGGAUGCCGGUGGAUACUGUCGGGCUUGAGUACGGAAGAGGCGAGUGGAAUUCCCGGUGUAGCGGUGAAAUGCGCAGAUAUCGGGAGGAACACCGGUGGCGAAGGCGGUUCUCUGGGCCGUUACCUGACGCUGAGG